ACUCACAUGAGCUUUUAAAAGCACAGAACUUUCUCAGGCUGGAAUCAGAAAUAUGUGGCAGAGGGAAAGAGGAGUCAGAGAGCUUUGAAGAACGACAGGCAGCUGACCCACAAAUACUGGAGGGAGUCACAAGAAAAAAAAACCCAAAAACAUGAGACAUAGUGUGGGCAGCCAUUAGGAGCAAAUACCAGCUCCCAGCUAGCAGCCAGCGAGGAAACCGAAACUUCAGUCCUACAUUGAUGAGGAACUGAAUUCAACCAACAACUUAAACGAGCUUUGAAGCAGAAUCUUUCCCAGAUCCUUCAAUAAGAAACACAGCCCUGCCAUCACCUUGAUAUCAGCCUUGAGAGACCCUAAACCUUUAAGCAGCAAUAGAAAACUAAUACAGUGAGCCUCAGGCAGAAGGGAGAGGACGGAAACAACAGAGAAGAGUCAUUUCUGGCAGAUUUGAAAACACAAACACAGGCUGUAGAGGAAGCAGAUGCAAGGAAGUGCUACAGCAGCUAAAGCAAACUCCUCAGGUCUGUAGAGCCCCAUGGCUGGAACAGAGGGAGGGAGCAAAACAUCCUCUAGAAACAGACUUCCUCUGAGACUCACAAGUGGCCUCAAAGAGAGGUGCUGCUUUACCUUUUGCACAACAACAGAGGGAGCCCGAGAGCCAAGAGGCUGGCCAUGCUACCCUGUUGUCCCCUCCCAGUCCAAAGAAUACUCCUCCCAGUCACCCUGGAAAAGCACCCUUCCCUUAUAUGGGGACAAACAUUGAAUAUAAGCUCACUCUAUGUGCAGUUAUGAGUAAAAGUGAAAGAAAACAAUCAAGGAAAAAUAUUAACCCACAGCCCUGAGAGUCAUGCUUACAAUGGGAAUCUUCCUUCUUCUAAAAAAAACAAACUUUUUAUAUUCUAGUUCUUCAGUAUCUACACCUGAAUAUUACAAACCACAUUGCUGACGUUAGUAUUUUUUAGGCUUUUUUUUAAAAAAAUUAUGUAUAUCUCUUAGUCUCAACUACAGAAUUGAGAAGUCACAG
rnacentral:lncRNA from 1 species